GAUGAACGCUGGCGGCGUGCCUAAUACAUGCAAGUCGAGCGAACAGACGAGGAGCUUGCUCCUCUGACGUUAGCGGCGGACGGGUGAGUAACACGUGGAUAACCUACCUAUAAGACUGGGAUAACUUCGGGAAACCGGAGCUAAUACCGGAUAAUAUAUUGAACCGCAUGGUUCAAUAGUGAAAGACGGUUUUGCUGUCACUUAUAGAUGGAUCCGCGCCGCAUUAGCUAGUUGGUAAGGUAACGGCUUACCAAGGCAACGAUGCGUAGCCGACCUGAGAGGGUGAUCGCCCACACUGGAACUGAGACACGGUCCAGACUCCUACGGGAGGCAGCAGUAGGGAAUCGUCCGCAAUGGGCGAAAGCUUGACGGAGCAACGCCGCGUGAGUGAUGAAGGUCUUCGGAUCGUAAAACUCUGUUAUUAGGGAAGAACAAAUGUGUAAGUAACUAUGCACGUCUUGACGGUACCUAAUCAGAAAGCCACGGCUAACUACGUG
rnacentral:rRNA from 1 species